rnacentral:rRNA from 1 species
UACGAAGGGGGCUAGCGUUGCUCGGAAUUACUGGGCGUAAAGGGCGCGUAGGCGGCACUGUUAGUCAGGCGUGAAAGUCCUGGGCUCAACCUGGGAACUGCGCUUGAUACGGCAGAGCUAGAGGAUGGAAGAGGCUCGCGGAAUUCCCAGUGUAGAGGUGAAAUCGUAGAUAUUGGGAAGAACACCGGUGGCGAAGGCGGCGAGCUGGUCCAUUACUGACGCUGAGCGCGACAGCGUGGGGAGCAACAGGAUUGAGAGACC